rnacentral:piRNA from 1 species
UAGCAAAGACCUGAGGCAACUGGGUGCCC